rnacentral:rRNA from 1 species
AGCGGCGGACGGGUGAGUAACACGUGGGUAACCUGCCUGUAAGACUGGGAUAACUCCGGGAAACCGGAGCUAAUACCGGAUAGUUCCUUGAACCGCAUGGUUCAAGGAUGAAAGACGGUUUCGGCUGUCACUUACAGAUGGACCCGCGGCGCAUUAGCUAGUUGGUGGGGUAAUGGCUCACCAAGGCAACGAUGCGUAGCCGACCUGAGAGGGUGAUCGGCCACACUGGGACUGAGACACGGCCCAGACUCCUACGGGAGGCAGCAGUAGGGAAUCUUCCGCAAUGGACGAAAGUCUGACGGAGCAACGCCGCGUGAGUGAUGAAGGUUUUCGGAUCGUAAAGCUCUGUUGUUAGGGAAGAACAAGUGCGAGAGUAACUGCUCGCACCUUGACGGUACCUAACCAGAAAGCCACGGCUAACUACGUGCCAGCAGCCGCGGUAAUACGUAGGUGGCAAGCGUUGUCCGGAAUUAUUGGGCGUAAAGGGCUCGCAGGCGGUUUCUUAAGUCUGAUGUGAAAGCCCCCGGCUCAACCGGGGAGGGUCAUUGGAAACUGGGAAACUUGAGUGCAGAAGAGGAGAGUGGAAUUCCACGUGUAGCGGUGAAAUGCGUAGAGAUGUGGAGGAACACCAGUGGC